CCUGUAUGCUGUACUGGUCAGCGCCCUCGUGCUGAUGGCCAUGGUCAAGAAAAAGGAUUCCUGAGACCAGCUCCAAAAGUGUAUCCUGGGUUGUUCUUAAUCCUCACCCUAGAGUGUCAUUUACGUGCUUCCAAUCUGUGUUCCUAAAGAGUUAUUCUCUGUCUACCUUUUAUCUCCUUUCUGCAUGUCUGUCCCUUCUCUCUGCUUCCCUGAAUCUGAAAUAGACUAAGGUAAUAAAAGUGUCAUGCUGGA